rnacentral:rRNA from 1 species
ACGCUCGACACCUACGGGGGGCAGCAGUAGGGAAUCUUCCACAAUGGGCGCAAGCCUGAUGGAGCAACACCGCGUGAGUGAAGAAGGGUUUCGGCUCGUAAAGCUCUGUUGUUGGAGAAGAACGUGCGUGAGAGUAACUGUUCACGCAGUGACGGUAUCCAACCAGAAAGUCACGGCUAACUACGUGCAAGCAGCCGCGGUAAUCUGAGCGGGCUGGCAAGGC